ensembl:lncRNA
GUGGCGGUGAGGGGGCGCGGUGUGGGGAGCAAGGCACCAGUGACCAAUUUGUUUGGUCUGAAAGGCAUCCAUUUUUUGCUGGGAAUAAAGCCACAUUAGCUGCUAACCCUUUUGGACGUCGUGAGGCCACGCUGAGGGUGUGGGCGACUGGGUUUGCUGGAUAGUUUGGUUUCUGCUGGGGUAAGCUGGCAGCCACCUGGAGGGGAGCCCUGCCUUCAAACACACUUGUGGCUCUCUGAUCUUCUGGUUCCCUGUGUGUACCUCGCAUGCUUCCUCAACUGGGUGUGCACGUCCUACAGUAAUUGUGCAAACACAACAAAAGUCAGACCCUAAAGUGUGACCGCACCGAAGGACUUUGAGAACACUAAGCAAUAUGAAGUGAGAUGCACCUGUCGGUCCCCUCCGCCCUCAGGGCAUCCGACUGUCCUCAGAACUGACCUCCCAGAAGCUGCUCCGCGCCCGGUGGCCUCAGCUGGGCCAGUUGUGGGGCCUGAGCAGAACUCUCAGGUGCUUAUGGUGUUGCCAUCCCUAAGAGAGUCGAGUCUGGAGGAGAAACCGCUAAAGGCCAUCACGCUACGGAGAACUUCCGAACGGGCAUGAGUCCACAGUUUCUUCCCUUUGGGGAAACAGCCACAGCUGCUCAAAUAAAGAACACGGUGAACUCAGCACUUUGGUUCAUCAAAAUCAUCACCCACGGGUUAUCUCUGAGUGCAUUUUCUCAAAAGUUUUUGAUUGCUUCCUUCUCCUCUUCUUGUCUUAAGAGUUGUGGGCUUCAGGAUGGGACAGAGAUGCAACCGUGACCCCCCAAGCCUUCUCAAUUUUUGAUUAAGAACCCAGCACAGCCUACCUCAGUGUAUCGUUAGGAUUUGGUUCAAUAACGGACAUCUUCGAGACUUCAGAAUUCUGCCUGGAUCCGAUCUGAAUCAGGGAAAAAUCUAUAUCAGCUGAUUCUGAAUGCCAGGGACCAGUAAGAAUUUUGAGGGAGGGAGUUGGGAUAAAAUAUGGCCUUCGUGUGAGCAUAGAUCCUUUUUCUGGCUGAUAAUAUGCUUCUCUGCAUUUAAUCUUCCUUUUUUUUUUUUUUUUUUUUUUUUUUUGAUCCUCCAUCCGUUGCCACCAUGCUCCCCAAACAUGAACCUAGUUCCAGGCCAUCAUGAUGUAUCGGAGGUGAGGGCAUUCAGACCUGAGUUACUCUCCUUCGGUGGGAGUGGAUUUAUCAUUGCCUGCUGGGGCAAAGACAGGCUUUGGGGCAGAGCCAGCAUCCCCACUGUCCUUCCCCCUCCACCCCACCGAAGUGAGCACCAAGGUGCCCUGGGCUCUCCAUGGUUUAUUCUCACCCCUUUCAGACUCAGAUCCUUUUUUAGGGGGUGGAACAAACCACACUCAUGGGAACCUCACACACAAACACCCCAUGCAGUGUCUUCUUUUAUUCUUCAAGUGGGAGGAGCGUAUGUUGAGAAAUCUCAGUCCCCAAAUCCACCACUGUACUGGAUGCAUUUUUUUAGCAACAAAACCUUAGACCCCAGUGUUGCGGUUUAGUUGACUUUAAGCUAAUACUGGUUGACCUUGUGGGGCUUUGAGAACCUGUGUGUAAGUCUGGGCAGGGCCAACAAGGCUAUUGUCAUAUUCGGCAAGCCUUUGUCAUACUUUCACCACGGCUCCUGCAGGAUCUCCUUUCUCCGCUUGCCCUGGAGACGUACCUAGAGUACCGGACCCGCCCUGUGUAAAUGGGAUUUCACUGAUUUCAUUUAGCUGUCUCUGCUACUGCUGUGAAAAGGGCAAGUGGCCGUUGGGUUAUCAGCCUCGUUUUGCAACAGAUAAUGUUUCCUGUGCAACAACAGAACUUUGGUCUGAGGAAAUCAUGGUUGUCCUGGGGGGUUGUAAUGAUGGGUUACAAAAAAAAGCAACAAAGCCAGCUUAGGUUGAUGCUUUUUGUUGUUUGUUUUUGAAGAUGUCUCACUAUUAUUAAAACCCUUUUUCAUUAAUGCGGCGAAAUCUGCAUAGUAGUUUCUUCUUCUGGGAGGAGAAUACCAAACGUGUUACUUUUUCCCUGGACCAGUGAUGUCAAACACACGUCUGGAAAUGUUUGUAUUCUGAGAGCUGUUCUGGGUGCUUUUCUGUCAUUUUAAGCUAGUAGAAAGAGAGACAUGCUGCUGGUUCUCUGGAUAGGCAUUGAGCACAACUGAGAGAAAAUGUGGGAGUUGAUGCAAGGGUCUGCACAUACAAUCCAUGACCACUGGAGCCUGCCACCAACUGAUGGACAGAUCUUCCACUGUCUCCCACCAGAGCAGAUGGUCCUCCAUAAGUGUGCUUGUUGGGUUGGGAGGUGUUUAUUUGUAGCUGUCCUAGCAUUGCUCAGUGGGCAGGAAUGCCAUCAGAACAUGGCCCAUGCUAGCCAUCUGAGUGAUUGGAUGUGCUGUAGUCCCACCGGCAAUCAUUUUUCUACUUUGUGGUGGGUGGAAGUUGGGGUUAAAUGCCUUUUGGAUGCCUCUUGGUGAGUCCUUGACACCUCAGGCUAUUCAGAAAUUAUGGUUUGGUUGGGGGUGGGGAAUGGGGAAAUGCUGAUCUUAUAUAAACGGUACUUGUAGAAUGGUGCCCCUUCAGAAAACCUUCUGGAAUGUUCUUCAGAAUAUUGCUUUACACCAGAGGUAAGGUUGGGGAUGGAAAGAGCAGAGGAGCGUUUGUUCUCUCAAAACACACGAAAGAAUGUGCUGGACUUUCGGGGGCUGCCGGUGAAGGCGAAUGUUUCCUUAGGGUUCUCCCAGAAACAGAGGGAAACAAUGACUUUUUGAGUUCGCUGUCACCUUCUGAUGCCAGUCAAGGUCCGGAACCAGCCUCCAGCUGAAUUUUUAUUUGGGUAUGGGCCCUACAAACCAGCUUGUGAAUCGGAGGCUCUUGGUCCCAUUUGAGAAGGAAGGAAUAGUACCCCCCACCCCCAAUACAUGUGCGUCCACGUUCAUAUUCAGGAAUGGCUUGCUUAGACUUCUGACUUUCUGUGCCUGGGUGGGCUCAGCCCCUCGUGUCAGCAGCAGACACCUCCCGUCCGCCGUCAGCCGUGCAGGAUCAAAAGUGCCUCGGCUUUUGCGGAAAACAACUCGGAAACACAAAACCCACUGAAAGCUCAAUUAUUAUUUUUUCAAUGUUUUCCUACAAGAGCCAAGUAGCGCCAUGUACAGAAUAUGCCUUUUUGUUUGUUUGUUUGGAAUAUCGAAAUUGCUCUGCAUGUAAAAUAUGGGAUAAUUACCUGUUUAUAUUGAAAUUCUGAAUAAAUUAUCUGAGAAUA